UACGUAGGGGGCAAGCGUUGCCCGGAUUCAUUGGGCGUAAAGAGUGUGUAGGCGGUCAGGUAGGUCGGUUGUGAAAACUGGAGGCUCAACCUUCAGACGUCGACCGAAACCAUCUGGCUAGAGUCCGGGAGAGGAGAGUGGAAUUCCUGGUGUAGCGGUGAAAUGCGCAGAUAUCAGGAAGAACACCCGUGGCGAAAGCGGCUCUCUGGAACGGUACUGACGCUGAGGCGCGAAAGCGUGGGGAGCAAACAGG
rnacentral:rRNA from 1 species